rnacentral:lncRNA from 1 species
UUUCUUUUUUUUUGGGCAACCUCAAAAACUGAUUAUAUGAACAAAAGAAUACAAAAGAGCAAUUCGCUACACACACUUUUUUCCGAAAGUACAGGGGUAUCUCUCUCUCUCUCUAUAGUAAGGCCGAACAAGUAUGGAGUUAUCCGUCUUUUUUAUCACGUUGGUGGAACUCAGAUUGGAACUCUACUCGAUCCGGACCAAGACCACAGUUCAAUUCGGACUUCGCAACAGAUUCGACAGAGAGAAGAUAUGGUAAUACUCGGCUGUGUAUAGAUGGUGACAAGAACUCGAAACUCUAAAGGACUAGACACUAAGACCAGCAACUCGACACAAACCGAAGCAACGCAAAUUCAACAAGCCCUAACUAAAACGGUACUAGCCAAGGCACAAAGGUUUAAUAGGAUUAUGGAAAAACUAAUCUACUAUAUUUUUUUGGCUUUUCUGGACUAUAGGAAAUUAAUUAAAAACAGCAAAGGAUUAGAAGUCUCUCACCGAAGAACCUUGCUCUGAUUACCAACUGAUGCGAACCCGCUAGGGUUUUUGCUGAUCUUUUGAUGAGAGACGGGGAUAACUCGAUUGGUGGAUGGAGAUGACGUUCACGGCCCGACUACAGCCCUCAAGACCGCGCCUUAGCAACCGAUACACCACGUCCAACAGCCGUCACGAUCUUGUGGAGCGCGACAACCAGCCCCUAGGGCUCCCGUCCUGCAAGCAAUCGAAGAACUAGCAAGAACGAGGAAACAAGCACUGAAUUUGCAAGAUGAAUUGAAGGUUUCAAACUGAAUCUGAAUCAACAAUGGGGUUCCGAAGACAAGGAGACGGGCGGCUGAUCCUGCACGCGCGCCUACAAGCAAGUAGCGAAGGCUAAACUUGAUCUAAACAAAACCCAACGACCAUGGCGGCUCUAGAGGGAUAUAAGUAGAUGGAUUGAUGACCAAAGAGGUGUUGGGGUCGUCCUCCAACCCUAGGACGCGUCCCUAAUGGACCCAACUUGAUACAUGGGCCAUCAGCCCAAAAUGAGGUGACGCAGCACCCUGGACAGCAAGACCUAUCGACGGUAAUUGGAUCAUUGCCGCUGCUGCCGAAGAGGUAUUGACGUGGGACUUGAUUCAUAUGAAAGUAGACUUGAUAAGCUUUCCAACAAGUCCUGAAGCGCCUGAAUCCGAAUCCGUAUGCAACCGUGGUAAAGGUCACAAGUUGGCGCUUUGCUGCUGUCCGAAUCCAGCGAGCGUGAGUCCUUCUCCCUUUCGGUCUUCUCCUUGGUUCCUAAUCAAAACAAGAGUGCACGCAUUUGCAUUGUCUAAACAAGAUGGACACGAGCUUAUCAAGGAACUCAAUUGAUUAUUAAGUUGACGAACACGAGCACGAGUAAGAGGACCAGCUAUAGGUUGUGUCGGAGAGGAUGUAUCGCUGGUGUUGAUGUCCUCAUCAUGGAACAUACCAUAUGCUCAGAAAUCAAUUUGGACGCACCAGAUGGAACUCCUAGAUGACAUGUGUCGUAUGGAAUCUCACUUCGGUCCGUUUAGAGACAGUGUUAGUUUCAGUGCAAGAUAGGUGCACGGUUUGUACCUAAUGCACCAUAGGAUAAGAAACCGUUUUGGACGCACCCGAUGGUACUCCUAGGUCAAGGGGCUAAAGUGAAAGCUCGGUUUGGUCUGUUUGGAGAUAGUCUAAUCUAAUCUUGAUGCAAGAUAGAUGCACAGUUUGCAUGGAACAUACGAUAUGCUCAGAAAUCAAUUAGGACGCACCUGAUAUAACUCCUUGAUGAUGUGUGUCAUAUGGAAUCUUGCUUUGGUUCGUUUAGAGACUAUUAGUUUUGGUAGAAGAUAUGUGCAUAGUAUAUGCCUAAUGCACCAUAAGCUAAGAAACUAUUUUAGACGCACUCGAUGGUACUCGUAGUUGAAGAGGCUCAAGUGGAGGCUCGAUUUGGUCUGUUCGCAUAUAGUGCUAAUCUUGAUGCAAGAUAGUUGCACAGUUUGAAUGGAACGUACCAUAUGUUAAGAAAUCAAUUUGGACGCACCCAAUAGAACUCCUAGAUGACAUGUGUCACAUGAAAUCUUGCUUCAGUUCAUUUGGAGACAGUGUUAGUUUUGGUGCAAGCUAGGUGCAUAGUUUGUUCCGAAUGCACCAUAGUCUAAGAAACCAAUUUGGUUGCACCUAUUUGUACUCUUGGGUGAAGAGGCUCAAGUGGAAGCUCGGUUUGGUUUGUUUGGACAUAGUGCUAAUCUUGAUGCAAGAAAGAUGCACAGUUUGCAAGGAACGUACCAUAUGCUAAGAAAUCAAUUUGGACACCCGAUGGAACUCCUAGAUGACAUGUGUCAUAUGGAAACUCGCUUUGUUCUGUUUUGAGACAGUGUUAGCUUUAGUGCAAGAUAGGUGCAAAGUUCGCGCCUAAUGUACCACAGGCUAAGAAACCAUUUUGGACACACUCGAUGGUACUCCUAGGUGAAGAGGGUCUGGUCGAAGCACGAUUCGAUCCGUUUGAAAAUAGUGCUAAUUUUGAUGUGAGAUACGUGCACGGUUUGCAUGAAACGUACCAUAUGCUCGAAAAUCAAUUUGGACGCACCAGAUUGAACUCCUAGAUGAGGUGUGUCAUAUGUAAUCUCGCUUUGCUCUGUUGGAGACAAUGUUAGUUUUGGUGCAAGAUAGGUGCACGGUUUGCGCCUAAUGCACCAUAGGCUAAGAAAACAUUUUGGAUGCACUCGAUGGUACUCCUAGGUGAAGAGGCUCAAAAGAAAGCUCGAUUCAGUCUAUUUGGAGAUAGUGCUAAUCUUGAUGCAAGAUUGGUGCACAGUUUGCAUGGAACAUUCCAUAUGCUUGGAAAUCAAUUUGGACGCACCCUAUGGAACUCCUAGAUGACGUGUGUCAUAUGGAUUCUGCUUUGAUAUAUUUGGAGACUGUGUUAGUUAAGGAGCAAGAUAGGUGCACGGUUUGCGCCUAAUGCACCAUAGGAUAAGAACCCAUUUUGGACGCACACGAUGGUACUCCUGGGUAAAGGGGCUCAAGUGAAAGCUCAGUUUGGUCUGUUUGGAUAUAGUGCUAACUUGAUGCAAGAUAGGUGCACAGUUUGCAUGGAACAUACCAUAUGCUCAUAAAUCAAUUUGAACACACCUGAUAGACCUUGAUGACAUGUGUUAUUUGGAAUCUCGAUUUGGUCCGUUUGGAGACAGUGUUAGUUUCAGUGCAAGAUUGGUGCAUGGUUUGUGCAAAAUACACCAUACUCUAAGAAAUCAAUUUGGACGCACCCGAUGGUACUCCUAGGUGAAGAUCCUCAAAAGAAAGCUCAAUUCCGUCUAUUUAGAGAUAGUGCUAAUCUUCAUGUAAGAUAGGUGCACAGUUUGCAUGGAGCGUACCAUAUGCUCAAAAAUCAGUUUGGACGCAUCCGAUGGAACACCUAGAUGACGUGUCAUAUGGAAUCUCACUUCGGUCUAUUUGGAGACUGUUAGUUUCAGUGCAAGAUAGGUGCACAGUUUGUGCCUAAUGCAUCAUAGUCUAAGAAACCAUUUUGGACACACCUGUUGGUACUCCUUGAUAAAGAGGCUCAAGUGGAAGCUCGGUUCACUCUAUUUGGAGAUAGUGCUAAUCUUGAUGCAAGAUAGGUACACAGAUUACAUGGAACGUACCAUAUGCUCGAAAAUUAAUUUGGACGCACCUGAUGGAACUCCUAGAUGAGGUGUGUCAUAUGUAAUCUCGCUUUGGUUCGUUUGGAGACUGUGUUAGUUUCGAUGCAAGUGCAAGGUUUGGGCCUAAUGCACCAUAGGGAAAGAAACCAUUUUGGAUGCACCCGAUGGUACUCCUACGUAAAGGGUCUCAAGUGAAAGUCAGGUUUUGUCUGUUUGGAGAUAGUCCUAAAUCCUAAUAUUCAUGUCAUGGUUUGCAUGUAACAUACCAUAUGCUCAAAAAUCAAUUUGGACGCACCCGAUAGAACUCCUAGAAGAUGUAUGUCAUUUAGAACCUCGCUUUGGUCUGUAUGGAGAUAGUGUUAGUUUCAGUGCAAGAUACGUGCAUGGUUUGCGCCUAAUGCACCAUACUCUAAGAAACCAUUUUAGACGCACCCAGUGGUACUCCUAGGUGAAGAGCCUCAAGUACAAGCAUAGUUUGGUCUAUUGGAGAUAGUGCUAAUCUUAAUGCAAGAUAGUUGCACGGUUUGCAUGGAACGUACCAUAUGCUUGGAAAUCAAUUUGGACGCACUCGAUGGAACUCCUAGAUGACAUGUGUCAUAUGUAAUCUCACUUUCGUACGUUUGGAGACAGUGUUAGUUUCGGUGCAAUAUAGGUGCACAGUUUGCGCCUAAUGCACCAUAGGCUAAGAAACCAUUUUAGACACACCCGAUGGUACUCCUAGGUGAAGGGGUUCAAGUGGAAGCUCGGUACUGUCUGUUUGGAGAUAGUGCUAAUCUUUAUGUAUGAUAGGUGCACGGUUUGCAUGGAACAUAUCAUAUGCUCAAAAAUCAAUAUGGACGCACCGAAUAGAACUCCUAGAUGAUGUGUGUCAUCCAGAAUCUCAAUUUGUCUGUUUGGAGAUAGUUUUAGUUUGGGUGCAAGAUAGAUGCAUGGUUUGCGCCUAAUGCACCAAACUCUAAGAAAACAUUUUGGACACACUCGAUGGUACUCCUAGGUGAAGAGGCUCAAGUGGAAGCUUUGUUCUAUGUGUUUGGAGAUAGUGCUAACUUGAUGCAAGAUAGUUGCACGGUUUGCAUGGAACGUACCGUAUGCUCGGAAUUCAAUUUGGACGCACCGGAUGGAACUCCUAGAUGAGGUGUGUCAUAUGUAAUCUCGCUUUGGUCCGUUUGGAGACAGCGUUAGUUUUGGUGCAAGAUAAGUGCACGGUUUGCGCCUAAUGCACCAUAGGCUAAGAAACCAUUUUGGACGCACCCGAUGGUUCUCCUAGGUAAAGGGGCUCAAUGAAAGGUACAUUUUGUCUGUUUGGAGAUAGUCUUAAUCUUCAUGUAAGAUAGGUGCAUGGUUUGCAUGUAACGUACCAUAUGCUUGGAAAUCAAUUUGGACGCACCCAAUAGAACUUCUAGAUGACUCGUGUCAUAUGGAAUCUUGCUUCGGUCUGUUUGAAGACAGUGUUAGUUUCGGUGCAAGAUAGGUGUACCGUUUGCGCCUAAUGCACCAUAGGCUAAGAAACCAUUUUGGAUGCACCCGAUGGUACUCCUUGGUAGAGGGGCUCAAGUGAAAGCUUGGUUUGGUCUGUUUGGAGAUAGUGCUAAUCUUGAUGCAAGAUAGGUGCAUGGUUUGCAUGGAACAUACCAUAUGCUCAGAAAUCAAUUUGGACGCACGCGAUAGAACUCCUUGAUGACGUGUGUCGUAUGGAAUCUUGCUUUGGUCUAUUUGGAGACACCGUUAUUUUCGGUGUAAGAUAGGUGCACGGUUUGCGCCUAAUGCACCAUAGACUCAGAAACCAUUGUGGAAGCACCCGAUGUUACUCCUAGGUGAAGAGGCUCAAGUGGAAGCUUGUUUGGGUCUGUUUAGAGAUAGUUCUGAUCUUGAUGCAAGAUAGGUGUACGGUUUGCAUGGAACAUAGCAUAUGCUCAGAAAUCAAUUUGGACGCACCCAAUGGAACUCCUAGUGCAAGAUAUGUACACGGUUUGUGCCUAGUGCACCAUAGGCUAAGAAACCAUUUUAGACGCACCCGAUGGUACUCCUAGGUGAAUAGGCUUAACUGGAAGCUCGGUUUGGUCUGCUCAGUGAUAGUGCUAAUCUUGAUGCAAGAUAGGUGUAUGGUUUACAUGGAACGUACGAUAUGCUCGGAAAUCAAUUUGGACUGACCGAAUGGAACUCCUAGAUGACGUGUGUCAUAUGGAAUCUUGCUUGGGUCCGUUUAGAGAUAUUGUUAGUUUUGGUGCAAGAUAGGUACACGGUUUGCGCCUAAUGCACCAUAGGCUAAGAACCCAUUUUGGACACACCUGAUGGUACUCCUGGUGAAGGGGCUCAAGUGGAAGCUUGGUAGUUAUUUGGAGAUAGUGCUAAUCUUGAGAAAAGAUUAGCAUGGUUUGUGUGGAACAUACCGAUGAAACUCCUAGAUAGCGUGUGUCAUAUGCAAUCUCACUUGAGUGUGUUUGGAGACAGUGCUAGUUUUGAUGCAUGAUAGGUGCACGGUAUGCGCCUAAUGCACCGUAGGCUAAGAAACCAUUUUGGAUGCACUCGAUGUUACUCCUAGGGAAAGGGUCUUAAAUGGAAGCUCGGUUUGGUUUGUUUGAAGAUAGUGCUAAUCUUGAUGAAAGAUAGGUGCACGGUUUGCAUGGAAUGUACCAUAUGCUUGGAAGUCAAUUUGGAUGCACCUGAUGGAACUCCUAGAUGACGUGCGUCAUAUGGAAUCUCACUUCGGUCUGUUUGGAGACUGUUAGUUUUGGUGCAAGAUAGGUGCACGGUUUGCACCUAAUGCAUCAUAGGCUAAGAAACCAGUUUGGAUGCACCCGAUGGUACUCCUAGGUAAAUGGGCUCAAGUGGAAGCUCAAUUUGGUCUGCUUGGAGAUAGAGCUAAUCUUGACGCAAGAUAGGGGCACAGUUUGCAUGGAACGUACCAUAUGCUUAAAAAUCAAUUUGGACGCACCCGAUAGAACUCCUAGAUGAUGUGUGUCUUAUGGAAUCUUGCUUUGGUCUAUUUGGAGACACCGUUAUUUUCGGUGUAAGAUAGGUGCACGGUUUGCGCCUAAUGCACCAUAGACUCAGAAACCAUUGUGGAAGCACCCGAUGUUACUCCUAGGUGAAGAGGCUCAAGUGGAAGCUUGUUUGGGUCUGUUUAGAGAUAGUUCUGAUCUUGAUGCAAGAUAGGUGUACGGUUUGCAUGGAACGUAGCAUAUGCUCAGAAAUCAAUUUGGACGCACCCAAUGGAACUCCUAGAUGACGUGUGUCAUAUGGAAUCUCGCUUUGGUCUUUUUGGAGAAAGUGUUAGUUUCGGUGCAAAAUAGGUGCACGGUUUGCGACUAAUGCACCAAAGGCUAAGAAAUGAUUUUGGACACACCUGAUGGACACGUAGGUAAAGGCGCUCAAAUUGAAAAUAGGUUUGUUCUGUUUUGAGAAGUGCCAAUCUUGAUGCAAGAUAGGUGCACAGGUUGCGUGGCACGUACCAUAUGCUCGGAAAUCAAUUUGGAUGCAUCCGAUAGAACUAGAUGACGUGUGUCAUAUGGAAUUUUACUUCCCUCUAUUUGGAGAUAGUGUUAGUUUUGGUGCAAGAUAGGUGCACGGUUUGAGCCUAAUGCACCAUAGGCAAAGAAACCAUUUCGGACACACCUGUUGGUACCUCUAGGUGAAGGGGCCAAAUGGAAGAUUGGUUUGGUCUGUUUGGAGAUAGUGCUAAUCUUGACGCUAGAUAGGAGCGUGGUUUGUGUGGAACAUACCAUAUGCUCAGAUAUUAAUUUGGACACCCAAUACUAGAUGAUGUGUGUCAUGUGCAAUCUCGCUUUAGUCCAUUUGGAGACAGUGUUUGUUUCGGUGCAAGAUAGAUGCACGGUUUGCGCCUAAGGCACCAUAGUCUAACAAAACCAUUUUGGACACACCUAAUGGUACUGCUAGGUGAAGAGGUCAAGUGGAAGCUCGGUUUGGUUUGUUUGGAGAUAGUGCUAAUCUUGAUGCAAGAUAGGUGCACGGUUUGCAUGGACCGUACCAUAUGCUCAGAAAUUAAUUUGGACGCAACUAAUGAAACUCCUAGAUAACGUGUGUCAUAUGCAGUCUCACUUCAGUAUGUUUGGAGAUAGUGUUAGUUUCGGUGCAUGAUAGGUGCACGGUAUGCGCCUAGUGCACCAUAGGCUAAGAAACCAUUUUGGAUGCACUCGAUGUUACUCCUUGGUAAAGCGGCUUAAAUGGAAGCUCGGUUUGGUUUGUUUGGAGAUAGUGCUAAUCUUGAUGAAAGAUAGGUGCACGGUUUUGCAUGGAAAUGUACCAUAUGAUUGGAAGUCAAUUUGGGUGCACCUGAUGGAACUCCUAGAUGACGUGUGUCAUAUGGAAUCUCACUUCGGUCUGUAUGGAGACAGUGUUAGAUUUGGUGCAAGAUAGGUGCACGGUUUGCACCUAAUGCAUCAUAGGCUAAGAAACCAGCUUGGAUGCACCUGAUGGUACUCCUAGGUAAAUGAGCUCAAGUGGAAGCUCGAUUUGGUCUGUUUAGAGAUAGUGCUAAUCUUGAUGCAAGACAGGGGCACGGUUUGCAUGAAACAUACCAUAUGCUCGAAAAUUAAUUUGCAUGCACCCGAUAGAACUCCUAGAUGACGUGUGUCAUAUGAAAUCUUGCUUCGGUCUAUUUGGAGACAGCGUUAUUUUCGGUGCAAGAUAGGUGCACGGUUUGCGCCUAAUGCACCAUAGACUCAGAAACCAUUGUGGAAGCAUCCGAUGAUACUCCUAGGUGAAGAGGCUCAAGUGGAAGCUCGGUUCGGUCUGUUUAGAGAUAGUGCUAAUCUUGAUGCAAGAUAGGUGCACGGUUUGCAUGGAACGUACCAUAUACUCAGAAAUCAAUUUGGAUGCACCCGACGAAACUCCUAGAUGACAUGUGCCAUAUGGAAUCUCGCUUCGGUCUGUCUGGAGAAAGUGUUAGUUUCGGUGCAAGAUAGGUGCACGGUUUGUGCCUAAUGCAACGGAGGCUAAGAAACGAUUUCGGACACACCUGAUGGACACGUAGGUAAAGGCGCUCAAAUGGAAAAUAGGUUUGGUCUGUUUUUGAGAAGUGCUAAUCUUGAUGCAAGAUAGGUGCACAGGUUGCGUGGAACGUACCAUAUGCUCGGAAAUCAAUUUGGAUGCAUCCGAUGGAACUAGAUGACGUGUGUCAUAUACAAUUUUACUUCCCUCUAUUUGGAGAUAGUGUUAGUUUUGGUGCAAGAUAGGUGCACGGUUUGCGUCUAAUGCACCAUAGGCUAAGAAACCAUUUUGGACACACCUGUUGGUACUUCUAGGUGAAGGGGCUCAAAUGGAACAUUGGUUUGGUCUGUUUGGUGAUAGUGCUAAUCUUGUUGCUAGAUAGGAGCAUGGUUUGUGUGGAACAUACCAUAUGCUUAGAUAUUAAUUUGGACACCCAAUACUAGAUGAUGUGUGUCAUGUGCAAUCUCGCUUUAGUCUGUUUGGAGACAGUGUUUGUCUCGAUGUAAGAUAGAUGCACGGGUUGUGCCUAAGGCACCAUAGUCUAACAAAACCAUUUUGGACACAGCUAAUGGUACUCCUAGGUGAAGAGGCUCAAGUGGAAGCUCGGUUUCGUUUGUUUGGAGAUAGUGGUAAUCUUGAUGCAAGAUAGGUGCACGGUUUGCAUGGACCAUACCGUAUGCUCAGAAAUUAAUUUGGACGCAACCGAUGAAACUCCUAGAUAACGUGUGUCAUAUGCAAUCUCACUUCAGUCUGUUUGGAGACAGUGUUAGUUUUGGUGCAUGAUAGGUGCACGGUAUGCACCUAAUGCACCAUAGGCUAAGAAACCAUUUUGGAUGCACUCGAUGUUACUCCUAGGUAAAGGGGCUUAAAUGGAUGCUCGGUUUGUUUGUUUGGAGAUAGUGCUAAUCUUGAUAAAAGAUAGGUGCACAGUUUUGCAUGGAAUGUACCAUAUGCUUGGAAGUCAAUUUGGAUGCACCUGAUGGAACUCCUAGACAUUGUGUGUCAUAUGGAAUCUCAGUUCGGUCUGUUUGGAGACAGUGUUAGUUUUGGUGCAAGAUAGGUGCACGGUUUGCACCUAAUGCAUCUUAGGCUAAGAAACCAGUUUGGAUGCACCCGAUGGUACUUAGAUAAAUGGGCUCAAGUGGCAGCUAAAUUUGGUCUGUUUGGAGAUAGUGCUAAUCUUGAUGCAACAUAGGGGCAUGGUUUGCAUGGAACGUACCAUAUGCUCAGAAAUCAAUUUGGAUGCAACCGAUAGAACUCCUGGAUGACAUGUGUCAUAUGCAAUCUUGCUUCAGUCUGUUUGGACACAGUGUUUGUUUCGGUGCAUGAUAGGUGCAUGGUUUGCACCUAAUGCACCAUAUGCUAAUAAACCAUUUUGGAUGCACUCAAUGUUACUCCUAGGCAAAGGGGCUUAAGUGGAAGCUCAGUUUGGUUUGUUUGGAGAUAGUGCUAAUCUUCAUGCAAGAUAGGUGCACGGUUUGCAUGGAACGUACCAUAUGCUCAGAAAUCAAUUUGGACGCAACCGAUAAAACUCCUAGAUGACAUGUGUCAUAUGCAAUCUCACUUCACUUUGUUUGGAGAUAGUAUUAGUUUUGGUGCAAGAUAUGUGCACGGUUUGCGCCUAAUGCACCAAAGUCUAAGAAACCAUUUUGGCAUCACCUGUUGGUACUCCUAGGUGAAGAGGCUCAAGUGGAGGCUCGGUUCGGUCUGUUUAGAGAUAGUGCUAAUCUUGAUGCAAGAUAGGUGCACGAUUUGCAUGGAACAUACCAUAUGCUCAGAAAUCAAUUUGGAUGCACCAGAUGGAACUCCUACAUGACAUGUGUCAUAUGAAAUCUCACUUCGGUCCAUUUAGAGACACUGUUAGUUUCGGUGCAAGUAGGUGCAGGGUUUGCACCUAAUGCACUAUAGGAUAAGAAACUAUUUUGGACACACCCGAUGGUACUCCUAUGUCAAGAGGCUCAAGUGAAAUCUCGGGAUGGUCUAUUUGGAGAUAGUGCUAAUCUUGAUGCAAGAUAGAUGCACGGUUUGCAUGGAACAUAUGAUAUGCUCAGAAAUACAUUAGGACGCACAUGAUAUAACUCCUUGAUGAUGUGUGUCAUAUGGAAUCUUGCUUCGGUUCGUUUAGAGAAAGUGUUAGUUUUGGUAGAAGAUAUGUGCACGGUUUACGCCUAAUGCACCAUAGGCUAAGAAACCAUUUUAGAUGCACCCGAUGGUACUCGUAGUUGAAGAGGCUCAAGUGUAGGCUUGAUUUGGUAUGUUCAGAUAUAGUGCUAAUCUUGAUGCAAGAUAGUUGCACAGUUUGCAUGGAACCUACCAUAUGUUAAAAAAUCAAUAGAACUACUAGAUGACGUGUGUCAUGUGGAAUCUCGCUUCAGUCUAUUUGGAGACAAUGUUAGUUUCGGUGCAAGAUAAGUGCAUAGAUUGUGCCUAAUGCACCAUAGUCUAAGAAACCAUUUUGACGCACCUAUUUGUACUCCUAGAUGAAGAGGCUCAAGUGGAAGCUCGGUUCGGUCUGUUUAGAGAUAGUACAAAUCUUGAUGCAAGAUAGGUGCACGGUUUGCAUGGAACAUACCAUAUGCUUGGAAAUCAAUUUGGAUGCACCCAAUGGAACUCCUUGAUGACGUGUGUCAUAUGCAAUCUCGCUUUGGUCUGUUUAGAAACAGUGUUAGUUUUGGUGCAACAUAUGUGCAUGGUUUGCGCCUAAUGCACCAUAUUCUAAGAAACCAUUUUGGAAGCACCUGUUGUUAAUUCGGUGAAGAGGCUCAAGUGGAAGCUCGGUUUGAUCUGGUUGGAGAUAGUGCUAAUCUUGGUGCAAGAUAGGUGCAUGAUUUGUAAGAACAUACCAUAUGCUUAGAAAUCAAUUUAGACGCACCCAAUGGAACUCCUAGAUGACGUGUGUCAUAUGGAAUCUUGCUUCGGUCCAUUUGUAGACAUUGUAAGUUUUAGUGCAAGAUAGAUGCACAGUUUGCGCCUAAUGCACCAUAGUCUAAGAAACCAUUUUGUACGCACUAUUUGGUACUCCUGGGUGAAGAGGCUCAAGUGGAAGCAUGGUUCAGUCAGUUUGGAGAUAGUGCUAAUCCUUAUGCAAGGUAGGUGCAUGGUUUGCAUGGGACAUACCAUAUGCUUGGAAAUCAAUUUGGAUGCACCCGAUGGCACUCCUUGAUGACGUGUGUCAUACGGAAUCUCGCUUCGGUCCAUUUGGAGACAUUGUUAGUUUCGGUGCAAGAUAGGUGCACAGUUUGCACCUAAUGCACCAUAGUCUAAGAAACCAUUUUGGACGCACUUGUUGGUACUCCUAGGUGAAGGGGCUCAAGUGGAUGCUCGGUUCGGUCUGUUUGGAGAUAGUGCUAAUCUUGAUGCAAGAUAGGUGCAUGGUUUGCAUGGAACAUACCAAAUGCUUGGAAAUCAGUCUGGACGCACAUGAUGGAACUGCUAGAUGACGUGUGUCAUACAAAAUCUUGCUUCGGUCUGUUUGGAGACAGUGUUAGUUUCGGUGCAAGAUAGGUGCAAGGUUUGCACAUAGUGCAGCAUAGGCUAAGAAACCAUUUUGGACACACCCGAUGGUACUCCUAGGGAAAAAGCUCAAGUGAAAGCUCGGUUUGGUUUAUUUCGAGAGUGCUAAUCUUGAUGCAAGAUAGAUGCACGGUCUGCAUGGAACGUACCAUUUGCUUACAAAUUAAUUUGGACACCCGAUAGAACUCCUUGAUGAUGUGUGUCAUAUGGAAUCUCGCUUUGGUGUGCUUAGAGACAGUAUUAGUUUUGGUGCAAGAUAUGUGCACGGUUUGCGCCUAAUGCACCAAAGUCUAAGAAACCAUUUUGGAAGCACCUGUUGGUACUCCUAGGUGAAGAGGCUCAAGUGGAGGCUCGGUUCGGUCUGUUUCGAGAUAGUGCUAAUCUUGAUGCAAGAUAGGUGCACGAUUUGCAUGGAACAUACCAUAUGCUCAAAAAUCAAUUUGGACGCACCAGAUGGAACUCCUACAUGACAUGUGUCAUAUGAAAUCUCACUUCGGUCCAUUUAGAGACACUGUUAGUUUUGGUGCAAGUAGGUGCAGGGUUUGCACCUAAUGCACUAUAGGAUAAGAAACUAUUUUGGACACACCCGAUGGUACUCCUAUGUCAAGGGGCUCAAGUGAAAUCUCAGUAUGGUCUGUUUGGAGAUAGUGCUAAUCUGGAUGCAAGAUAGAUGCACGGUUUGCAUGGAACAUACGAUAUGCUUAGAAAUCAAUUAGGACGCACCUGAUAUAACUUCUUGAUGAUGUGUGUCAUAUGGAAUCUUGCUUCGAUUCGUUUAGAGACAGUGUUAGUUUUGGUAGAAGAUAUGUGCAUAGUUUACGCCUAAUGCACCAUAGGCUAAGAAACCAUUUUAGACGCACCUAAUGGUACUCGUAGUUCAAGAGGCUCAAGUGGAGGCUUGAUUUGGUAUGUUCAGAUAUAGUGGUAAUCUUGAUGCAAGAUAGUUGCACAGUUUGCAUGGAAUGUACCAUAUGUUAAGAAAUUAAUUUGGAUGCACCCAGUGGAACUCCUAGAUGAUGUGUGUCAUAUGGAAUCUCGCUUCGGUCUGUUUGGAGACAAUGUUAGUUUUGGUGCAAGAUAGGUGCAUAGUUUAUGCCUAUUGCACCAUAGUCUAAGAAACCAUUUUUGACACACCUGUUUGUACUCCUAGAUGAAGAGGCUCAAGUGGAAGCUCGGUUCGGUCUGUUUGGAGAUAGUGCUAAUCUUGAUGCAAGAUAGGUGCACGGUUUGCAGGGAACAUACCAUAUGCUUGGAAAUCAAUUUGGAUGCACCCGAUGGAACUCCUUGAUGCGCGCGGUUUGGCAAAGAUGCACCAGGAAUAAGAUCAAUUUGGUGCUCAAUCCCGCGUAUAGGUAGCAGCCCAUCCGGUAUCUCACUUGGAAAAACAUCAGCAUACUCCUGCAAAAUGUUAUGAACAGCAGGGGCAAAGAAUGCAGCAUAUCUUCAAUUGAAAUCAAAACACCCUUACAUACCAAAGCAUGAGCAAUAGAUGUGAAAGAAACUAGUUCAUUAACAUCAGAUUUAGUAGCAAGCAUGCAAAGUCCAUUUAAUCUUAUCUCAUCUUUGUUAUUUCCAUUGGUAUCUGCAUUGUUCAUAAUUUUAGCCUUGGUAAUUUUAGCAACUUCAUCACGUAUGAUAGCUUCGGGAGACGGUAGCAAAACAAUUUUCCUAUCAUGGUGCAUAAAUGAAUACUGAAUCGAUCUACCAUGAUGUAUACAUUCCUUAUAAAAUUGCCAUGGUCUACCUAGCAGAAUAUUACAAGCUUCCAUAGGUACAACAUCACAUUCAAUAACAUCAUGGUAUGAACCAAUAGUAAAAUUAACUCGCACCAGUUUUGUUACCUUGGCCUUACCACUGUUGUUUAGCCACCGAAUGUGAUAUGGAUGUGGAUGUGGUUUGGUGGUAAGUGCAAGCUUCUCCACCAUGUCGCUGCUAGCCAAGUUGUUGCAGCUACCUCUGAAAGCCCUAGUUUGGUUUUGGAUAAUUGAUGAAACCCUAGUACUAACCUCUAUGCUAAGUGUGUGUAGACUUGAUGAGGUUAGUACAAGCAAAGUGAUGGAGCAAGUAAUAAUCAUGGUGAUGAUGGUGAUGACCACAAGAUGAUCAAGUGCUCAACUUGGAAAAGAAGAAAGAGAAAAACAAAACCCUUUGGAGAUCAAGGCAAAGGUAUUGCUUAGGGUUUUGGUUUUGGUGAUCAAGACACCAUAGAGGGUGUGAUCACAUUUAGGAUAGAUAGCCGUACUAUAAAGAGGGGAAUUCUUUGGCUAAGCGGUUAUCAAGUGCCACUAGGUGUCAUUGUUCAUGUGCAUGCAUUUAGAACCUAGUGAGCUAACUUAACUCCUUCAAAGAAAAUGAUUGUGAAAAUGCUAACACACGUGCACAUGUUGGUUCACACGUUGUGGUGUUGGCACACUUUGAGAAGGGAGUUGAAGUUUGAAGGGUAGAGAGAGGAUGGGUUCCUCUCUCCCUCCCGCCGAGCUUGCGAGGCGGGAUUCGGCGCUUUUCGAGAAAAUGAAGUGCAUAUUUUCUAUUGCGCCGGUGGGAAAUUUGGAGAAGUCGCGGGAGUGUUUUUCACCGAGAAACACUCACCGGACGCUGGCUUCUGGAGCACCGGACGCUGCGUCCGAGCGUCCGGUGUGCAGGCGUUUUGCGACCCUCUCUGCGCAUGGGUCCGGUGAGCACCGGACGCUCAGGGUGCGUCCGGUGGCUUGCGUCCGGUGACCCUGCGAGUUUGCGGAGCUCUCUGCGCAUGAGUCCGGUGUGCACCGGACGCGUCCGGUGCCAACCUGCUCAGCGUCCGGUGCUCUGCAGGUUACCGUUAGACUCUGACACGCGGCUGACGUUAGAGCACCGGACGCUGGUGUUGAGCGUCCGGUGCCCCUUUAAGAGCGUCCGGUGACCCCGUAUUUCGCCCAGUGAAAGAGCCAACGGCUCUAUUUGCUUGAGGGGCUAUAAAUACGUGUUUGGCCGGCUUAGGGCUCACACUCUUGGCAUUCUUGACUACUAGACAUCCUUGUGAGCCUAAGCAAACACCUCCCACUCAUCUCCCUCAUAGAUUAAACAUCUUUGUGAGAUUGGGAGUGAUUCCAAGUGCAUUUGCUUGAGUGAUUGCAUCUAGUGGCACUUGGGGAUCGUUUUAGCUGCGGUUUUCUUGUUACUCUUGGUGGUUGCCGCCACCUAGACGGCUUGGAGCAGCGGAGGAGGAUAGGCACGAGUUGGUGAUUGUUCGUGGCCAUCUCCCGGUGAUUGUGAGGGGUCUUGUACCUUCCACGGUGGAGAGCCGAAAGGUAACUCUAGUGGAUUGCUCGUGUCAUUGAGUUACCUCACUUGUGGGUAGGUUCUUGUGGUGUCCUAGUGAGGACGAGGUUCGUGCUACACCUCUUAGCCACCGAACCACCAAGUGUUGGUCGACACAACGGGGACGUAGCGUGCCGGCAAGCACGUGAACCUCGGGAGAAAAAUUGGUGUCUCAAUUGUGUUUGAUUGGCAUUCUCCCGGUGCUUGAUUGUUUAUAUUGGUGAUUGGUUCAUCCCCUACACGGCGGUAUAAAUAUCUCAUCUUAUCUUUACUUACUGCAAACUAGUGUAAUUACUUUAGUUGCUUACUUUGACUUGUGUAGCUUAGUUCUCUAGUGUAACUUGUAGAGACUUAGUUCUUGUGUGCAUAGAGAUCUUAGCAACUAGAAUUGAUUGGGUAGGUGGCUUGCAAACACCCCUUUAGAGCUAGAGCAAAAAGCUUCGCUUUGUUAUUUACUAACCUUUUGCUCUAGUGAGUUUGUAGAAUUUUUAAAUAGGCUAUUCACCCCCCCCCUCUAGCCAUCCUUUCAACCUCCAUCAAUAAUCAAACGACAAGAACACUCUUUAAUAACACACUUUGUUUGGAACAAUGUAUGCUGCUGAUUCUACUCUGCCUUCUCUGCUUGAGCACUAAGCACACGCUGCACAAUAAGACUCUCAUAAUGCUCUGCAUUCUCUGCAACUAUCUGCUCUUCUGUUGCUUCAUCCCUACCUGUAUCAUCAGCAGCAAGCAAAGCACAUGUAUCAUCAUCAAAAUCACUAGCAGAGCAAUACCCACCAUCAGCGUUGACCACCAAAACACGCUUGCUUGCACAAUCUCGCUGUACGUGCCCAUAGCCCUUGCAUCGAUGACACUGAACAUCUCUUGUUCUUCCCGUGGGAUUAACUGAGGAGGCACUAGCAAUUGGUCUCUCAGCUGAUUUGGUUGUUGUAUUUGUGGAAGAAUCACGUGGUUUGUCGCUGUAAGAAGGUGGUGGAGCUAUUGAUCGGCUUGAUGGAAGAGGUACACCACCCAACAAUGUAGCAGAUGUGCAUUGUUGCCAGGAUUUCCCUGUAGAAUUGUUAGAUUUGGCACUAGAACGUCGUCCCUGCACUUCCCUCUCAGCUUUACAAGCAAGAUGAAACAAACAGGUUACGUUAGUAUAAUCUUUAUAAGCGAUAAUGUCCUAGAUUUCACGAUUUAACCCGCCCAAAAAUCUAGCCAUAGCAGGUUCUUCUUCCUCCUAAAUUACAUCGCAGCAUACCCAAUUGUAAUUCCUGAUAAUAUUCUUCUACACUUUUAGCACCUUGUCUCAAUUGCUGCAACUUAUUAAUCAUGUCAUGAGCAUAGUAAGAAGGAACAAAUCUAUCCCUCAUGACUCGUUUCAAUGCAUUCCAAGUUCUAGGUAUGUUAUUAGGAUUUUUCUUGCCAUGUUCUGUCCACCAAAUGGAAGCAAAAUCGGUGAACUCACUAGUAGCAGCCCUAACACGUGUAUCCUCAGGGAAUUCAUGACAUGUAAACUUUUGGUCAACAACAAUCUCCCAAGUAAUGUAUGCAUCAGGGUCAUAUUUACCAUCAAAAGGAGGUAUUUUUAAAUUUAAUCUUACUGAAAGCAUCAUUAUUAUUGUGUACCUCGCGUCGAUGGUGGCCACCCAUACCUCUACGGGUGUGAUGUAGGCGACGUCGAUGAUAAGUGUCUUGAUCAUCUCGUUCAGUAUCAGCAGUUAAUCAUCAUCAUAAUUGCCAUCCACUCGGUCUUCCUCCUUGUUUUCUUCCUUAUGCUUCUCUUUAUCCAUUGUGUGGAAGUCAUCAAAGCGUUUGAGAAGAGCAGCAAGACUUUUAUCCAUAAUAGCAAUAGAUGCCUCCAUCUUCGUAAUCUUGUUGUUUGUGGCAAUCUGCUGUCCUCCAACUGCCCAAGCUUGUCAUUCGUCACCUUCAAGUCGUCAUCAAGCCCCUCUAUGUGUAGCCUCACUUGCCUUUCAAAAUGUUGUAUGAUGCCCUUAGUGCGAGGUGAGUGCGGAAUUUUGUUGGCAUCCUCUGUCUCUGACAUGGUUUGAAAAAAAUACAGUGGAAACAAGAAAAACCGGUGAAGAAAUAAAAACCCUACAGCUAUUAGGAUGUGGCUACUGUAAGACGCUCUCUAUCAACAUGUCUAACAAGUUCAUACCAAUUCUUACCUUGCUCAACAGGAGGGAUUGGCUACCAACAAAUCCACAGCAAUAGACGAAGUGUAUCGGUGCCGCAGCAACAAGACCUAUCAAGCUGUAGAAUAUGUGGAGCUAUAUGUGGGCUGAAACAAGGAUCAAACUAGCACCACGUUAGUUAUAAAACCAAGUUGAAUAAACGCUCAAUGGUGGUACUGUGCGGGGCCUAGACCGUGCUAGAGACGUGAGCCUGGACACAAAGAAAAAACACAGCACACCACCGGAAACAAAAUGAGCAGCCCUACUGGAAACAAAAGGAACAACAAUCCCCUUUUCUUUUUGAUUUUUUUCUUUCUUUUCUUUCUUUCUUUUUGUUCUUUCUUUUUCCUUUCUUUUUUUUCUUUCUCUUUUCUUUUUUCGGGAAACCUCAAAACCUGAUUAUAUAAACAAAAGAGUACAAAAUAUCACUUCACACUCUCACCCUCUCACUAGAGUAAGGCUGAACCUCAAAAUUCAAUAUGUCUAGCACAAGUAUGAAGUGUUAUCUUUCCUUUUGGAUCAUGUUGAUGGAAACGCAGAAUAGACCAACAAGUGGCUGCAUCUAUUAUCAAGAUCUACUCAAAUUCCAACCCACAAUAGAUUGGACACAGCUCUGACAAGAUGGUGACAAGAACUCGAAACUCUAAAGGACUAAACUAAAACCAACACUAGACACGACCGAAGCAAACACUCAUUCAACCAGCCCUAACUAAGUAGUACUAGCCACGGCACAAAGGAUUUAUAGGAUUAUGGAAAACAAAUCUGCUAUAUUUUUUGGCUUUUUUUGGACUAUAGGAAAAACAACACGAAGAAUUGGAAAUCUCUCACCGAUAAACCUUGCUCUGAUUACCAACUGAUGUGAACCCGCUAGGGUUUUCGCCCGAUCUUUCGAUGAGAGGCGCUGGAUAACUCGAUUGGUGAAUGGAGAUGACGUUCAUGGCCCGACUAUAGCCUUCCAAGCGCCUUAGCAACCGAUACACCGCCUCCAAUGGCUGUCAUGAUCUUGUGGAGCGCAACACCCGGCCACUAGGGCACUCGUCCUGCAAGCAAUCGAAGAACCAGCAAGAACAAGUAGAACAAGUACUAAAUUACUAGAUGUAAAUGAAGGUUUCAAACUCAAUCUCCAAUGAAGUGGGGUUCCAAAAACAAGAAGACAGGUGGCUGGAUCAGCACGCGCGUUUACAAAGAAGUAGCGAAGGCUAAACUUUAUCUAAUCAAAACCCAGUUGCUCAUGGCCGCUCUAAAUGCAAAUAAACAGAGGAGAGGACAACCAAAGGGGUGCUAGAGUCAUCCUCCAACCAUAGGACGCGUCCCUAAUGGA